UACGAAGGGGGCUAGCGUUGCUCGGAAUCACUGGGCGUAAAGCGCACGUAGGCGGCUUUCUAAGUCAGGGGUGAAAUCCUGGAGCUCAACUCCAGAACUGCCUUUGAUACUGGAGAGCUUGAGUCCGGAAGAGGUGAGUGGAACUCCGAGUGUAGAGGUGAAAUUCGUAGAUAUUCGGAAGAACACCAGUGGCGAAGGCGGACUCACUGGUCCGGUACUGGACGCUGAGGUGCGAAAGCGUGGGGAG
rnacentral:rRNA from 1 species